UCUAUAAGAAACCACAUUCCAUUGGUACGUGGUUUCUUAUAGGUUGAAAUUUGUGCUGUGCUAUUUCUAUCGCUAUUGCCUCGCAUUGUGUCUCAGGCUUUACUUUAUCUUUACUGGAAUUCUAAAGUACAAUAUUAGAGAACUGUGUUUUCAUUGACAUUAUUAAUAACUUUUCAUUUCUCUAUUCACUGCAGUCCUCCAAGAAAUUAGACAAAGCAUUACCUUCGCGUCUAUUCAUCCGCUUCUCCUCAUUUUCAUGCCUCGCCUUGGAAUGUCGGAACCACUCCAUAACUCGUCGUUGUAUUUUUCUCUGGUCGGAAUCCGGGAUAUUGUGAAUUUCUGCAGUGGUUCCUUUCCGCGUCGGCCUUCCCAGUUAUAUCUCUCCGCCAAUUUAUUGGAGAAUACUUUAUACAAUGUUCUCUUUACGGCAUCAUCGACACUUGUCCCUCCGAUGGAUUUGAUAUAUCCGCGCUAUAAAAUAAAAAGUGUUAUGUUGGGAAUUUGACGCUUUCAAGAUCUCCUCAACUUCCGCUAACUGAACUACGGUUUGCAAGGGAAACCGGUUUUCAGCGCCCUCAAAGGAAAUUUGUGUUCUCUCACAUUCUGUGUCUUUAUUAAUUUUGUCCACUAUGAUGUCUACUAAGGGCUGUUAUGCGAAUAUUCAUUGUCUGACCGACCAUGGGCAUGUAUCAAGCCAUCUCGAGUUUUCUCUCUUGGAGCAAUAAUAGUACGCGGCAUAUGUUCCUCAGCAUCUGUUUCACAUGAAGCACCGAAAUCAUCUCCAUUCCUAUCUUCAUUAAUAGGCGAAGCUGUAGAGAACAAAAUUAAUCGCAUUGGAAGAUGUCGAAUCAAGGCUUUGUCGUCGCAGAAUUCCCGGAUGGUAUUCAAGUAAUACCAAAAAUUUGGUUGCAAAAUAAAGAUAAAUGCAAAUAUCCCUCGCAUUUUAAGACGGAUAUAAAAAUCCGAAAAGCGGUAGAGAAACAGGAGAUACCAAAGUUUGAUUGGCCCGCAUUAGAAGUUAUAAGAAUUUUUGGCGAAUAUUCGUCCUUACAGAAGGCUUAUGCGAAGGCAGAGAAAGCUUUAUACACGUCAGAUAUGGACACGGAAAAGGAAGCAAAAUAUUACCGAAAACAUAGAGCGAGAAAAAUUUACUCUUCGUCGGAAAGCGAAGAAGAGUCUGGUGUAAAUUUGCCACCUGCUCCAUGUCCUCCUGCAAAACGUAACGUUAUAAGCAUUUUCAUUGCGCGCGCCCGCGUGUGUGUGUGUAUAUACAUACACACACACGCAUUCAAUGUAUAU